CUUGGUUUUCCUCCUUUAAUAAACAUGCAGACCUCUUCCUUGUGGCAACCUAGCAGAAAAGAACAUGUAAUAUCACAAGCUCUCACUGUUGCUUAGCAAGUGUUGCAACACCGCAGCUGGCUUAGACAUUUGUGGAGACCUUUUGCCUUUGCAGCUUGCACAUCCCAUCAGUCUUAAUGUCACGCCUCCGAGCUGCAGCAUUAACCCAGGCUUUCUGAUCUGAUAAGCACUGCUUUUUGCAGGGAAACGGUAUCUGAGUGAGAUCUGGUGCUGGGUGAGUCCUCUGCUGAGCCCAGGAUGUGCGCGAACUGCUGGGUAGUUCUGCACAGGUGGCUGCUUUUUUAAUUUGUCUUCUUAAUCCUCAGGGUAAGUUAUUUCUGUGGAAAGAUCGCGUAUGUCUAAAUACAACUUUCAGAAGUGUUUCUCUGCAGAAAGGGAGCGUGCAAGGCUAAUUCAGGUGGAGAGUGACCAUCUCUCCAAGACCAGGAGGUGCAUGCAAUCCACAACAUGUAUCUGUUGUUACAGGGGAGCGAGCAGCCAUCCCAGAGAGCCUCCACCCCGUGCAGGGAUGGGGCAGCUCAUUCACUGGAUUUGACUUUUGUGGAAUUUUCACUUUCAAGUUAUUCCUGACUUUAUGGAAGACGUAAAACACGAGUGAGUGAGAAGCUGCUCAAAAGGAGUGACACUUUCAUGAAGGCUAUAACUACGACAAAGGCAGACCAUUUUUUAAAGUGACACACAUAAAUGUGUCGUAUCAGCUGUUUUGUGGGAUUAGCCACACGGCUUACGGAGCCCUGUAACCUUUCCCUGAGUGUAGUCAGCAGAGGAAGGGGCAAGAAAUGUCUUAAUCCCGAUUAGCUAAGGAUUGGUGUAAACCCUGACUGCUUGCAAAAUUUCAAACUGCUGCAACUCUGCACGAUCUCGUUCAUGCCAUGCCCUCACUGAGCCUCACAAAGGUUUUCCCACUGGUAAAAUGGGCUCUGUCCCUACAGUCCCUCUGCUUUUAGCCGAUGCCCUCUGGGAAGCCCCUGCACAGCCCUCACUCAGUGGUCACUGAAACAGCUCCAAGUUAAGUCAAGGUGUGUGAUGGCUUGGAGCAACGUGAAAGGAGGAGCAUGUUGUAGAGAGUGAGCUUUCUUGCUUGCAAUUUUACGGUUAAUGUGGAAGAUUAAGUUUCUGUUUUAGUACUCCAUUCUAUUCUAUUCUAUUCUAUUCUAUUCUAGUUUCAUUUACAGCUUAGCUGGACAUCUGAGCUGAGAGUAAUGUGGAAACAUUUAUUCUGAGGGACUUUCCCCUUAAAGGCAAGCCUGUGGCAUUAAAGGUCUUGCAGGCUGUGCAGAGGGCUGGCAGCAGUUUCUGAGCAACAGCCAAAAAUAUGUUCUUGCAGCAGCAUUUCCACACUGAUGGCACUACAACAGAGUCAGCUCCACCUCGGACGGAGUCGGUGAAACCAUGCUUUGGCAGAACUCUGAACUCCAACUGCAUAGAUGCAGGGACAGCCAUCCUUUUUGCUGCCUUAUUGUUCUUUGCCCAUGGCAGUGAUAUGAAUUAUGUCCAUAUGGAAAUGCACUGAAGAAUUCUUGUCACAGCCAUGAGGGUCUAGUUUCAUGGAUUCCAUUUGUCAUUGUUACAUCACUUUGUGGUUGUUGUUGUUGGAAGGGAUGAUGAUGGAGACAAGGCUAAUUUUCAGUAAAUUUCAAAAGGGUAAGCAUUCCUUUGGCUCCUGAGGGCAAACCAGAAAGGGAUCAGGACAUCCAAAAUGACAGGAAGACGUGGUGCUGUGUGGAGGCAGUAACUUGCACACACUCUGCUUUACACAGUUCUUCCCCACGAGGACGACCAGUUGUGGGACCACAGAAGUCUCCCUGGUGCGGUGCUGUUGCUCUGCCUUGCCUCGGGCACUGUGGAAGGGGGAAGCAAAUUCUGAAAUGCACAGGAAAAUUAUAUAAAAUGGAGAAGAGAUGGGCACAGAAAGAAGUUGGCAAGAAGGAGAGGAUGGUGGUGUUUUUGCUAACAAGAUGAGUUUUCAAGGCUGUCUGCUGAGUGGCAUCAAAGAAGAGUGGAAUUUUGAAAAUGUCCCUGUGACCCAGAGAACGUGUUCCUGCCACAUCAGUGCAUUUGUGGCACUGUCAGUGCUUGCAGAAAUCUCAGUGAGGCUGCAUCCUUCUACUUAUUUCAAAAUAACCCAUCAGAAAUAAUUUGGUGCCUUGAAAUCUUUUACUCACAGGAAAAUGUAUUCUGCAAAGCACUCACUGUUACUUCUUUUCUCACUGUUUCAAGCAUGAACAGAAUUAUCUGCCCCCUUUGUACAUAGUUCUUAACAAAAAAACAAAUCCUGUUCUCAGACUUGCAGACCAGUUUUAGUGGCAGUUCUCAUGAUGGUCAGACAGGGAACACUCAUGGCACUGUGCUCACUGCUGUCAGCCACUGUUUGCCAUCCCCAGUUCUGGAGGUCUCCAAGGAGAGGGGAGCAGCAGAGCCACGUCCCCGUUGCCUGGCUCAGCGCAGCAGCUCUCAUGAGCUUGCGCCUCCUGCCCAGUGUUGGCUUUGCCAAGCCUGACCCUGCUGCCUCUCUGGAUCUGCUCCUUGGGAUUGUACCUUGGGGUUUAGGAGUUGUUAGAAACAGCUGAGAACUCCUGGCUUGGCAAUGCAUCUUCUGGUUUGAGUGUGUUCACUGGGCCGCACAUCCUAGCUGCUAGGUAUGAAAAAGAGCAUCAGACAUCAAGCAAAAUUUAUCCAGAUUUCACUUGUAUUUCCAUCUCACAUCUGAUCCAGGAAGUUUCCUUGCAUUCUUGGGCAAAGUAUGGCUGAAGUCCUGAAUAAGAUCAAUUGGCUCAAGGGACCUUACUGGCAACAAAAUUAAAAAGGGAUUUCCUUCCCUGAUUUUGAGGACCACAGAAAGGAUGAGCCUAGAAACAGAAAUUACAAGCUACAAAUCUUAGGGCCAGCCUCAAGAGAACGUCAGGUACAUUAACACAGCUUGCUAGAGAUGAAAAUCCAGCUUGAUUGCAUCCAAAUAGGGACUCAAAAUCUUGCUGACAGACCAUACCUUUAGAAGCCCCAAGUACCAGCAGCAGUGCUCUGACAACUCAGUGCACCAGUUGGAGCUGUGCAGCUCCUCUCCUUGCAAUGUAUGUCCAGAUCCUGCAGGUCGUUCUGUAUGCUCCUCAUUGUGUCAUAGGAGUAAUUAUUUCGUGUUGGUUUCUGCUGCCAUCCAUGGUAUAUAUGGUUUUCCUUUUCCUUAUGGAAAAAGAAUUCCUUCUGAGGAAGUCUGUCUUAACUUCUAAUGUAUGCAAAAUUUCAGAUGCAUAGCACUGUGAAUAGUGCCAGUCUGCUCAUCUUACUCCUGCUAACAUUAGUAAAUCUAUUCAUGCAGGUAAACAAGAUUCAUUUUAAGUGGGUCAAAUAUUUUUUGUCGAAAAGAAAAUGAAGAUAUUCAGAGGCCUCUCAGAUUGACAUGAGGUCUCGAGCGAUCAGUCCCUCCCUUGCUGCUUGCAGGUCACACAGGAGGGCAGUGGGGGAUACUGAUGAGUGCAGUGUUCCUUCAAGGCUCAGUUGGAAAACUUCCUCUCUGAAAACUGAGGGAACUCAUGCUUGACGAAAUGCCCUAGCAGCCAGGGAAGCUCAGCCAAACUGCUGCAUCUGCUGUCUGGAGAACACAAGAAGAACACGUGUGUGUUUGGCAAGCUGAAAGGUGAGUGACAAGAAUUACCAGCAAGCGUAGGAGCCUGAGAACACUCCUAAUUGUGUGGAGCUAGGAUCAAAUUUGGGAAAGACUACCUAUACAAAACAUACACAGCUGAGAGAAAAAUCUGGACGGAAAAAAAUCCUGGCAAGGGUAACAUACAGCAACACAUACGUAUGGACAAAAAGCUGAACAUCAAACAGCAGUGUGCUCUUGCAGCCCAGAAGGCCAACUGCACUUUGGGCAGCAUCAACAGAGCAAUGGCAGCAGGGAGAGGGAGGGGAUUGUUCCCCUCUGCUCUGUCCUCAUGAGGCCCCACCUGCAGCACUAUGUCCAGAACUGGGGACCCCAGUUCAAGAAAGAUGUGGAGCUGUUGGACUGGGUCCAGAGUAGGGCACAAAGAUGAUCAGAGGACUGGAGCACCUCUCCUGUGAAGAAAGGCUGAGAGAAUUGGGCUUGUUCUGUCUAGAGAAGACAAGGUUGGGGGGAGACCUCAUUUUGAUCUUUCAGCACCUAAAGGGAGCUUACAAACAGGAGGGAGACUGACUUUUUUACAUGGUCUGAUAGUGACAGGACAAGGGGGAAUGGUUUUAAACUAAAAGAGGGGAUAUUUAGAUUAGAUAUUAGGAGGAAACUACUUACUCAGAGGGUGGUGAGGCACAAAUACAGGCUGCCCAAAGCAGCUGAGGAUGCCCCAUCCUUGGAGGCAUUCAAGGCCAGGCUGGAGGGGCCCUGGGCAGCCUGAGCUGGUGGGCUGUAACCCUGCCUGCGGGAGGUGGUCUCUAAUGUCCCUUCCAAUCCAAGCCAUUCUGUGACUCUGUGAUUCCACUCCAGAAAAGACUACCUCUGUUCUGUAACCACUAGUAACAGCACGAUACACAUUGCUUUAACUUUCAUCAGAAGGCCUGGAUGGCACACACAACACUUCAUCUCACUCCAGCACUUGGACUGCUGCAUUUUUAAGUUGAUGAUAGACUUAUCACUGUUGAUUAGUUCACUCUUCUGGGAACAGAUGCCUCCUGUUUGUCCAUAAAGGAAAACUUCAUGCCUCUUCACCAAUCUAAAGAAACUCAUAGUGAGAAAAGAUAAAUUUCACAGGGGCCGAACCCUGAGCCACUGGCUGAUCCUGCAGGUUUUCAUGAUCAUCUAUGGUACUUGGACAACUAGAAUGUGAAUGAUCAACACACAAUUAAUCUCUACUGCAUAACAAGUCCAAGUUGUUUCUAACUUGGGCUGAGCUUAGGCCUAUUUCCUGAUAGUAGGAAGUCCAUGUUCUGUUGCAGGUACUUAAAGCUUUUGAAUCUUCUUGCUGUUUACUAGUUAAUACAGCGUAUGCAAGCAGGUCACUGGACUCCACAGUAACGCUCAUAUUUGAAUAUUCUCUUUGAUAGUCCUUAUUCAGCUGGUAAGAUAUCUAGUUCACAGACAUUUUCUUUUAGUCUCUGGUCAUCCACUCUAGGUUUUCAUAGAGGUUCAAUACCAUUCUAGCAGUGGACUGAUAAAAGGCUAUAUCUGCAAAACUGUGCUUAUAGCAUAUUGCUAGAUACUCCUAAAUCAAGACGGUUUUUUUGUUGUUGUUACUUCUUUUUACUUUUGAUCUUUCUAAAACAACCAAAGUUCAGUGUUACUUAUUUGUGAUACCCUUAUGUAGUGCUUUGAGCCACUGUUUCCAUUAAUUUUCCAUGCACCAGAUCACCUCACAUGCCUCUGUAGAAGCUAUGUCAGUCAAAACAAUGAGCCGAUAUAUACUCAUUUUUUAACCUUUUCUUUGUUCAAAUGACUUAGCUUGAGUAUGAGAUGUAUUCUGUAAAUAUUCACUGUAUAAACCAGGCUAAUCCAAGACCAGAUCUGAUUUCUGCUGCAGCUAUUUUGAUCCAGCAAAUAAUUCAGCAAACAUAGUUGAGAGGCGACUGCUGUGUGUGCUAAAGCAGACAUGUCUUUCCUCCCACCACCUCUAGGCUUUUAAUAAUUAUGAAUCAUUCCUCCAGCUGCAUGUCAGUGUUUCUUUCCACUGGACAGGAACAGCGAUAGCUCUGAACUAUGCAGCAAUGAGAAAGGUACAAAGAUUCGAGUACCAAACGGACAGUACUGCCUAAAGGUCCUAUUUAUACAGACAGUUCUACUACACAGAGGCUGCUGGAACUCUAGUACUUCUAUAGCACAGUGGGAACAAGGGGUCCCAUCAUCUGUCACUGUGCUCAUUUUCCUUUCAUCCCGUGCCUGCCCUGCGCACAGCCAUUCCUCCCCUACGCAGCUCAGACCAAAAUGAAAUCUUGACUGCUUCUUUCCUCCUACUGCAAUGGCUCGGUGCUCCUGCUGGACAGCUACAGAUUGCUAACUGUUCCUGGCACCGGAUGCCUCCGCAUGGACGUGAAGCCAAGAAGCCAAGAGAGAAACCGUAUUGCCAAGUCCAAGCACUCUGAAAUUGCAGUAACCUUUUCCCUACACAAAAAGUGGGUUAUUAUUUGUAUUUAUCCUUUGUUGCUUCAUGUUUUCAGCAAACAUAUUUCAAACUCUUCUCUAUGGUCAUGAUUUUAUUCUCGAUGGAAGUUGAAAUUCUUGCAUACCCAUACAAUUCCUGCACCUGAUGCUUUAAGAAAAAACACCGAUGACUGCAGGAGUUGGCAGCAGAGAGGGAAGAGGAAGAGGAGACGGAGGAGGAAAUAAUCUCAUUCUCUCACCUGCAGGAGCGGAAUCUGAUCCCCUGCUGAUGUCUGGUGAUAGCGCAUCGGAGAGGGAAAGGAAAUGGGAGAACCAGAGGAGAGAAGAGGUAGCCCAUAGGAAGACAUAAAGAGAAGGAAAUACUUUGGGUUAGUGGAGAAGGUCAUCAGGCUACGCAGCCUUCAGACAUCUACCCAAAUCAGUUUGAAACUCCCGACCACACGGUUACCUCACCGCUGAGUGUUUUUUGCGUUCCAAAAUGAGAGGUGGGGAAGGGUGUCCUUCCUGCUCCUGUUUAUCUGAGUCACAGGGAUAAAGCCUAAUUUUGUCUAUAUCCAACUGUCAGCAGUGCGGGAAACAACACAUGUGAAGGCAGAAAAGGAAACGUGGUGUAAGCAAUUGGAAGUGAGGGCUGUACCUGCCUUUUGUGCUCUGCUGCCUUUUCAUCUUACAGAACACAACGUGAGCUGUUACUCUAGUAAUCCAUGAAGUACAUUGUGCAUGCGGAGCCACGCAAGGAUACUAAUUGAAGGAUUAAAACCGAGUGUAGACAAAUGUUAAUGAAGUGAAGGAACUUACUGGACUUUUUACGUUCUGCCUGUGUGUACAAAGCAGCGUUAGCUCUGUGCAGUGCAAUGCUAAGACUAUCUACGCAUUUGAGCUGUGACAUCAGUUUUCUAUUUCUGCGUUAUUAUCACCAGUGAAAGUGGAAACACUGCAUAAAGUGUGGGUCCUCAUUCUGUCUGCAGUUCACUCUUGAACAGUGUGCCACUUCUUUUUGUUUUUUCAGUAGACUGAGAGGAUGAAGUUUAUGUUUCUGUUUUCAAGUGUUGCUUCCUCCACGAGCAGGAAAUCCUCCCUCCCUCCAUAUGUUUUUAAAAUAGCUGACAGUGCCCCCAAUUAAUUGCAUAUCAAACUGAACUUCUUUUUCCUGGCCUACGUGACUGUCCUCCCCUCCUCAACAGCCAGCCUGUUUUCAUGCGCACGGUAGGAAUAUUAAAAACAUCCCCUACCUAGCAAAACAAGAACUCCUCUGGGAAGGUGCAUGUAGAUGAAAUGGCAGCAACUGAUGUGGCAGUCACAUCCCUCAUGUACUGAUGAGACAUCUUCAGCUAUUGCCAUCGCAAGAUAAGAACACAGAUAAAAUAAAUAGUUCUAUGCAGAACUACUUUUGACCUAUUUUUUUUACUGUUUCUUUCAUCAUCACUAAACUCCUUCAAACUUUAAACCAAGCCCUUUUCCUAGCUUAAAUCCCUUCCAAAAAUACAUUAAAAAAAGCCUAUAUUCCCUAAGAAUAUAGCAGUCUGAAUGGCUCCUCUGGUUAUAUCCCUAUAACCCUUGUCCUCCCUUCUAAUCCUUCCUCCCUUUUUCUCUGUUAAUGAUUCACAUUUAUGGCACCCUUGUCCAGAUCUGCCCAAAUCUCUCUUAUCUCUCUUCCUAUAUCUCUACAGCUUUCUUUCUUUUUUUUUUCUUUAGUGUGUGGGUUAUAUUUUGGGUUUUUUGGUGAUUCCUUUCC
rnacentral:lncRNA from 1 species